GAUGUCCCCUUUCCUUUUUAGACCUCAGAAUAUCAACGAGCCUUCAGAAAUCCAUAAGUUUCAGAAUAGAGAGCUUAAACGACAUGCACUGACGUUUUCCCCCUAGUGCUCACUAAUGUGACGGAAAGUGUCUGUUUUCCCUAGUGGCAUGUUUAUCCUGCCACAAGAUGGAGGUAGGGUGAAUGACAGUCUCAAGCGAUUCCUCGAACCAGGCAGAUACUUAAGAACCACCCUUGAGUUUUCUUAAAAGACACUUUCCAAGACACCAAUAUCACCAGUUGUGCAAGAGCUAUGUGGUUCAUUAAUUCGUCAAUAUAGGCCUAUUUUCACACAAAAUCAA